GAUAGGGAUGAGAAGAGGAAAAAGAAUCUUUGUGUGAACCACACAUAACCAUCAACACUGCUGCUCGUGCAUGGACACACACACACACACACACACAUACACACACAUACACACCCUCUGACCAUCUUACUUGGAAGAGAUGGAGGGGGAACCCAUCUAGGUUAGAGGAUUCUUCACUGGGCUGUGCCCCUUUGUGGAUUAACUUGUCAGUCCUUCAAUAAGGGAGAAACAGACUGGGGUAGACUCAGGUGCCUGAUAAUUAGAAACAAUGAAAAUUGCAAUGAGAGCCUGAGUAAACACAGUAAGAGUGUACCCUGGACAGUCUGGUUCAGUCUUGGCCAUCCUCACUGGACAGGAGCCUAAGCGUCCAGACUGUCUGGUUCAAUGCUAUGCAGACUCUCUGGCUUCCUUCCUGCCCCAGGAAACCCAGACUGCCGCUCACAGCUCACAGAUCUUCAACCCAAAGAGCAUCCAAGCAUUGAGCUCCUCCCUCUGCCACAUAGCCCAACCCUCUGUCACCCUCAAGGACCCCAGGCCCUUCCCUCACGGUGACUCUAAGAAUCCCCUCUGUGGCUCCUGGCACUCAGGCCUCCCCUUCCUUCACCCGCUCACUUCGCAUUCUUGGCUUGACGAAUCAAUCACGCCACCAUUUUAUCUUGUCUUGGAUCAGACCCAAGGCUUCUGUUGGCUGACUCCCUGGGCUGCGUACAUGGGAAGGGGAUGGAGAAAGGACCCUCAAGAGCCCCGGGCUCCAGGAAGAGGAGCGGUGGCCCCCACCCCCUUCUCCUCGUCUCUGACUUCCCAGUAGCAGUUGAGAGGUGUUUGGACGGAAUAGAGAUGGAGACUUAGCCCGAGGGACGCCUCUCGUAGUGACUUCUGCUUCAAAGUGAGCACACUGUUUCCUAGGCAGAGCGGCCUUCUUGUUCCCAAGGCCGUUUCCCAGCUGGUCACUUCCAUUGUUAGUGUGCCAAGCGUGGCACUGUGUACCAGGUCUGUGCGUGUCGGCACAGAGGUGAUCAAGCAGGGUCGAGGUCAGGUUCAGUGGAGAGUUUAAAAAGAUAAAAUGAAAUGGAAAAAAAAAACAUCCCUUUGUAAGAGGCCCUUAGGUUUGGGGGGCGAUCAUAAACUCUGAAAGCAGGCACAGGGUCCUCUCAAUAAGCACAUUUGCAUUUGUAGAAAUGUACUCAGCUCUGUGUGUCUUGUCAGGUCUCUUCCAUGGGAGGGCCAGGCCUUAGCUCCCAGUGGCAGGCAGUUGGGUACUUAAUCCCUUCUUCAUGCCAGAAGUCGAGAGAAUCCAGGCUUUAUCCAGGCCCCAGGUCCAGGCCAGGGAGAAGUAUGUGAAUGAGUGCAUUUUCUGCCUUUCUCCCAGGCAGUCCCAUCGGAUACGAGCCCUUUCUCACUCUGUAGUUGAAGUCGGACUUUCUGGGAUUUCUCUCCAGGUCACUGGUGCAUAAGUGCUGUUUAUGACAUGGUCUAAGGGAGAAACUUGUCCCAGCCUCAGCUCGAAUGGGCUGGCUCCUCACCCAAGAACCUUCCCAAGUCACACUCAGGGAUGACCCUUAGGUCAUUGUGACAAGAGAAACCCUUCACAGGCACAGCCACCAAGGGAAAUUUUACCUGGGCUCCAGCCAUACUGAAGCACUGACCUGAGUUCAGUCAAUAAAGCCCUCAGGUCAAAAUGAAAACCAAGCAAACAGAUCAGUGUGUGGUGUCCGCAGGAACAAACUGUACAGAGUGGGCUAGCUCACGUCUUACUGUUUGCCGUGUUUGUAGCUAACGCCCACAGUCCCCAUCGCAUGCGCAGAGCUUGUUUUGCUGUUAACUUUGGGGGUGUUCCUCCGGGGACUUUUCCCUCAAGGUUGUCCCCUGAGGAGAAUGGAAACAGCUGUUUGGUCCUCCCUUGAGGCACCCCUCCGCCUGCCUUCCCUGCUCCUCUCUCUCAUCAUUCAUGCUUUGCCCAGCAGCAGGCGUCCCAGUGGGGACCACAGCCCAGCAGAGGAGCCUCGCAGGCUUCAGGAAGGCUCACUAGGUGACCGAUAGGUGACAGAAGGCUCUUGAGAUGGCCUGAGCAGAAGUCACGUGCAAGACGGUGGCACCGCCCCUGAAAUUUUGGAUGAAGGCUUGUCUUUAAGUCACUUCGUCUUCCUGCCACCUCCCUGUCUGUGACCACGUUCUCUGGUUCCUCCUUCUCACUGUAGAGCUAACUACUUAAAGUCCAGAAGAAUUUGGUGACCGCUGAUAACCCCUGCUUCAUGUAGGACAGUUCCUUGAUGGCCUCAAAAGCCCUGACUGACUUACCCUGUCCCCUUCUGCAAGCUCCCUUGCUCUGCCUCCUCUGUCUGUCACCUGGAACUUCCUUUGGUUUCUCAGUCACCAACAUCGUCACUCAUGUUGCUGGGGUCUGUGUCCACAGUGGUCAUGCUUAAGAGGCACAUCCCUUGUGCCACCCAAACACCCUUCUCCUUGUUUACUCCUGUUCCUUUCAGGGCUUCCCCUUACGCAAGCAGCGCGCCCGUCCCCGACUUUCUAGCUUCAUUGUCCCAUGCUCCUUUUUAUGCAGUGUGGCUAUUUGGUCAUUGCCCCCUUCCUCCGAGUUAUGCAGCCUGUGUGAACAGGUCUAGUGCUCCCUGUCAUUGUGCCAGGCACCUGUCAUCCCAAUGCCACAUAGCACAGUAGGAAUAAAAGUAUGUCCAGCGUGUGGAUAAUUGCAAGUCAGCGCUUGCCUUGUGUAGAGAAAGCUAUUGGUAUGGAGCAGAACCCCUGGCUCUGACUUUGGGUGCUGGCCUGGCCGUGGUGUCUGUUUCCCGCACAGCUGCCUCAUCAGGACAACGACCUGAGCACUCCCUUUCUGCAUCCGUGCUUGGCUUUGGCCAUGCGAUCGACGUAGAAGCCGCCUACAGUUCCGGCCACAGCCGCCCAUGUGAGGACUGAUGUCCUCCUCCUGACAAACUGAUUUCAGUAUAAACGUGGAUUGGCUUUGAACUCACGGUCCUCCUGUUUCUGCCUCUGGAACUCCUAGUUUGUACCAUCACACCAGGUGCUGAAGGUCCGUUUCUAAAAUCCAUGUUUCCGGAAGGGUUGUCUAUAGUAAGUCUGAUUGUACUUGAUUUCAAAUGACUGCAGUGAACAGUUUUGUCAUUUGGGAUUAAAAUCUUUAUUGCAGGAAAAGUUUAUUGCUUUGCAUUUUCACAAGUGAAUGGUCCAAACAAGGAGCUCCUCCAUGCAUCUCCUCCACGGUGCACAGUUGCAGAGAAAAGACAGAUUUCCUUCAUGUGCUGUCAAGAUGUCAGCCCCAGAACCAGCAUUCACAGCUAGAGACAGGACUUCUUUCUGUCGACAUCCAGACAUCUGCCAUUGACCUAAGGGACGCCAUAGCAAGUCUUCUUUAGAGUAGCAGAUGGCGGGAGACGGGCAAGCCAGGUGCUCACAUUCGACACGAAGCCGCCUUCCCCAGAGAGGAGAGUCCUAAUGAUGCUGCCGUGAAAGAGGAGGGGGCUGUAACAACGCAGGUGCACUAGCUGUUUACCUCGAGUAAAGCAGCCGCUGUCUUAAGUGUCUGGGCCUGUGGAUUCUCUGUUGUCAUUCCUGAAGCUUCAAAGAGUCUGCGUGCCCACUUUCCGUAGCUGUCUGAGCAAGGGAGAUGUCUCUGGGGCUAUGAAGAUACGGAUGCCUGUGAUGACGUCACUCACGGAUGCCUCUGUUGGGUGACGCCUCCGAACACUAAACUUCUUCUAGUUCCACUUGGUGUGUGGCUGUUAUUAGUGGCACUCUUCCGAGUCACAGCAAAAUUGGGGACUUGAAGUAUUUAUUAGUGAUUUUCAACCAAAACCCAUCUGGCCUUAAUUGUUUUAUAUUUUAAAAUAAAACUUAAGAAAAUAUGA